AAAAAAGAGGUGUUUUACUACCAAAAUAAAGAACACAAGGAGAUUAGAGAGAUGGAAACACAAUAUUAUUGUUCUUGUGUCAUUGUGUGUAUGAGUGUGAGAAUCAUAGAAGUCGUCGUUGUGCGCCGAAUGAAGCAGAGAAGCCAAAUAUGAAGAAAGAAUAGUAGCUAGGAAGGUAGGAACUGUACGCAAGUGUAAUAAGAAGUGAACUUAAUUAGCCUUCUUCUUACUUCAUUUUCUUGACCUUUCAACCAUUUGUGUUCCUAUAUAUACCUCUGUAUAGCAAUACUACUCGAAUCAAAACAAAAACAAAGCAAGAGUUGAUUAAGAGUACUACUAGCUACUACUGUGUUCAACAGCUGAAUCCAAAUAGCUAUAAUAAUGGCUUCCAAAGCUGCAACUUUCUUCUUCUUUUUGCUGGUGGCAUCUUUGCUCAUUACUGCUUCUUUUGGAGCUCGUCCGGAUAUUGUCGAAAAAUCUGCCACCGGAAAUCUGCAGGUGAGUGAUGUUAGCUCCGCACCAUCUCCUCCAGUUUCAGACGUUAAUGAUGAAAUCGACUGUAAUGGUGAAGGAGGCAAAAAAACCAAAAAGAAGAAAAAGAAGAACAGUCCUGGAGCAGACGGUCCUGGUAAAAAUUAAUUAAUAGCAUGGGAUCUAUCGACUAUCGUCACCAUCAUCUAAGAAGUAGCUAGCUCCCUCCUGGCUGUUGUACUUUUCAUAUACUAACAAGUCUAUCUGCUUACACAGAUCACAAUCAUGCAUAUAUGCAUGUUGUUGCUUUCUACUAUGUACGUACUAAUUAACAAAUAAACAAAAUAGCUGUGUAUCCGGUGACCUUCCGGCGAUACGUACUUGUCUCAGUUUCCCGGCAUCCGUUUGAAGUGCCAAUAUAAUAAAUUCUGCGUGCUGUGUCAUCUUGUUUCUCUGUUUCCAUCGUUCAGUUUCUACAGAAGCAUAGGUACUCUGCUCCUCGUCCGCAUUCGAAGGGAGAAGAAGUUGACUAUGUUUCACUUUGACCAAGGCCCAACAUCACUCCACCCCAUCUGACUUUGUUUUAACUUAAGCCCAAUCAGGGUUUGACUUUUUCUUUUUACAUAGCAUAAAUCACAUAGACGAAUCUGUGUGUGUGCCGGUGAUGAAGAGUUAUCGAUUUUUAAAUUUAAUUAUAUAUUUUACAAAUUGAUACUAGUGUAAUGUUAUUUUUUUUCUUAUUUCGAACAAAAAAUAUUGACGAUAUUUGAACCAUAUAUGAUUGAGAUCGAUAAACUGAUGUUCGUUGAUUGAAACUGAUGAAUCAUACUUGGGCGGGUGGCUCAUGGGUCUGUCGGGUUGACAAAAAGGCGAGGCAUAAUGAACAGAACAUUACAGUUCCAUGUGAAAGCUACAGUUCUUUUUUGAAAAAAGAGAUUUCAUAUAUUAGUGAUCGUUAAUUCCAUACAUGGGUUACUCAUCAUCCCCAACAUUCAUAACAAGGUCGAGCCACUUUGGUGGAAACGAACAAUUCAUAGAAGAAACUGCAAGCCAAUCGACAAGCUUGUCCUAUCCGCAAGGAAGAAAAGACACUUGUAUAUUGGUGUUGAGCUUGAGCUUCGACUUCAUAUAUCCAAUGAUCACUACACAUAUCCAGGACCAGAGAGAGUCACUUUAAUUGAGGAUAUUCACUAGGGAUUGGCAGUCUGAGUAUUAAUGGGUCGGUUGAGCAGUAAAUAUAGCCAGAUUGAUGGCUUCAUGAAGAGCAUGAGCUUCCGCAACAAUCGGAGAAGAGGAAAGGAAACGAUCGCUGGAACCACCACAGAUAAGUCCAUGGCCAUUAGUCAUGAUAACGCCAUAAGCCGUCGGCUGUGAAUCGCUCAAGAACAGCCCGUCAUGAUGUAUCUCAAAGUUAUGAUUCUGAGGCGGUGAACAAGGCUGAGGAGUGGGAGGGGUAGGAAUGAAGGUGUUGGGAAUCAUGUUUUGACCAGCCCUCGGGGAAGACCAGUCGUCCAAAUCUCUUUCGCCGCCGGUUAUAGAGAUGCUAGGCACUGGAAGGAAGGAUUGGAAAGUGAAGGCGUUCCUAGCCUUCUAAAUGUUCCAUCAGUAGACAGCAAAUUUUGUGCUCAGUACUUGAGAGCAUAAGGAUUUGAGAAACCAAUGCUAACGUUCAGAAGAAAAGGACGUUGAAAAAGACGGAGAAACCAGUAGAGAGCUUCCCCAAGUCAUGGCCGCGUGAGUGCAAGUAAAUAGGCAAUGGGCGAGGUUUUCCUCUCUACGGUGGUAGAUCGAGCAAAGAGUGGUUGGAGAGUAGUGGCGUUUGGCUAAGUUGACCCUGGUGGCCAAAGCGUCUUUGCAGCAUCUCCACAGGAAAAAACAGAUCUUUGGCGGGAGGGAUAGACUCCAAAGCCACUUCCAAUUGUUGCUUGAAACGCCGUUAUGGGUCCUCGUGAUGGCAUUGGGGAUACGCCUGAUGGUAUGGUACGAAGACUUGACCGUAAACCGUCCCAAAGGGUUAUGCUUCCAUUUUCACUCGUCUUCCAUACCAACAGGAUCUAUCAGAAUUUUGCACAUAGCCGUGGUCUGGGAUUGAUUAAAGCAGAGCGCAAUAAGAUAUGUGUCCCAAGCUCGGGAAUCCUCCUUGGUCCAAGCAGUCGCUUUCAUUUCCCCUUGGUCCGGACCGAUCAAUUUAAAAGAGUCGAUCCAUGAGAUCUGUGGAUCGUGCGAAAAGUGAUUGUGGAUCCAUCACCAAGACCUUUGAAGGCCCCUAAUCGGAUAACCUCUUUGGCCUUGGAGAUGCUUGACCAAAUCCAUGACGAGCAGCAUCCUUUUGACGAGUCCAGGAACUCAACCUUGGUAAAAUAGAGACCUUUCAGAAGACGAACCCACAACGCAUAAGGGUUAUCGAGCAUUCGCCAUGCUUGUUUGCUAAGUAGAGCCAGGUUGAAGUAAUUGAAGUUCCGAUAUCCUAAACCCCCAUCCCAUUUGGGGGAACAUAAGACCUUUUCGUUGCAACAGUGAAUAAUUUUCUUGUUCAUUGAACCAGACCAGAAGAAGUUGCAAAGAAUUCGGUCCAUCUUCUUUGUGAGGGUAUUGGAGAGUAAGAACACUCCCAUGAUGUAUGUCGGAAUGGCCUGACUCACCGCCAUUCCGACAAAAUCGUGAAAGCUAAGUUGGAGAGAUAAUUUUUAUAUGAAAUCGUACACCACAAUAUUUAGUUCUUUUUUUAUUUAAAUACGACUACUGCAAAGUUCAAUCAAGGUCAAUUGGAGAAAUUAUUACUCAAAAUCACUACGUUUUAGAUAGGAAUGCAUAAAUUUCCUCCGUUAUCCAAAUUAUGUUUCCAUCAAUCAUACAUAUAUUUACGUUACUAGCAGUUCUUUCUCAGGUAAAAAAACACACCAAUAAGUCAAACAGAUGCAAGCUUUCGCUCUCCAAAAAAAAGUUCAUUCAACAACGAAAAUACUCGCCUUGAAUCCAAUAUUUUUGAAGCGGAAAAAUCUUAUGACUACUAGUGUCUCUUGAUCCAUCAGCAUGUUGGCCCCCCUACUGAGUCUCCCACCUUAACCACAAAAUCAUGCCCACCGCCUACAGAUUGCUAUCAACUGAAACUCUUCGGCGAUAGAUCCUACAAUCAGGAUUCAUCUGUAGCGGGUUAUGGGGUUGUUAUAACUAACUCUUAUGGACAGAUGUCCAGUGGCAAAGUUGGGAAACUUGUUUGUUCAUCUACCCUCAUAGCUGAAGCUAAAGCUCUUCUUGAAGCCCAUCGACUAGCUGAGAGAUCCAAUCUCAGGACUCUCGUCCUCGCUGGCAGUCACUCUUGUGCUGGUUGAUGCUCUUAGACGAGAUAAGGAUGAUUGGCCAGGGCAAUGUUUCACAUGGCUACUCCUCAUGAAGGACAUUCUCCUAUCUCAUGACUGAAUUUCCUUAUCGUUUAUCCCCGUCGUCUCAAUAAAGCGGCGGACUAUGUUGCUUGAGGCGCUCCUUCGGCCACGCUUCCUCAUAACUAGAUUCAUUGUACCUAUUUUUCUGAUUUAUUGUAAAGCGUUUUCCUUUAGAAAUGAAUAUACAUAUCAUCUAUUUUGUAAAAAUCGUGGAGGGGAGCCACGUUGGUUGCAUGAUAUAGGAAGGAAGGCGUUGCGAAAAAAAUUGAGUGCACAAUCGUGUCACGUCCCACAACUAAUAGUAGUUGAGACUUUUUUGGAUGUUCGUGAUCUUUAUAUACGAGUGAAUAGCUUGAGAAAGUCCUCUUAGAUGUAGUUAAAAAAGAGGUGUUUUACUACCAAAAUAAAGUACACAAGGAGAUUAGAGAGAUGGAAACACAAUAUUAUUGUUCUUGUGUCAUUGUGUGUGUGAGUGUGAGAAUCAUAGAAGUCGUCGUUGUGCGCCGAAUGAAGCAGAGAAGCCAAAUAUGAAGAAAGAAUAGUAGCUAGGAAGGUAGGAACUGUACGCAAGUGUAAUAAGAAGUGAACUUAAUUAGCCUUCUUCUUACUUCAUUUUCUUGACCUUUCAACCAUUUGUGUUCCUAUAUAUACCUCUGUAUAGCAAUACUACUCGAAUCAAAACAAAAACAAAGCAAGAGUUGAUUAAGAGUACUACUAGCUACUACUGUGUUCAACAGCUGAAUCCAAAUAGCUAUAAUAAUGGCUUCCAAAGCUGCAACUUUCUUCUUCUUUUUGCUGGUGGCAUCUUUGCUCAUUACUGCUUCUUUUGGAGCUCGUCCGGAUAUUGUCGAAAAAUCUGCCACCGGAAAUCUGCAGGUGAGUGAUGUUAGCUCCGCACCAUCUCCUCCAGUUUCAGACGUUAAUGAUGAAAUCGACUGUAAUGGUGAAGGAGGCAAAAAAACCAAAAAGAAGAAAAAGAAGAACAGUCCUGGAGCAGACGGUCCUGGUAAAAAUUAAUUAAUAGCAUGGGAUCUAUCGACUAUCGUCACCAUCAUCUAAGAAGUAGCUAGCUCCCUCCUGGCUGUUGUACUUUUCAUAUACUAACAAGUCUAUCUGCUUUCACAAAUCAUAAUCAUGCAUAUAUGCAUGUCGUAGCUUUCUACUAUGUACCUACUAAUUAAUAAAUAAACAAAAUAGCUACGUAUCCGGUGACCUUCCGGCGAUACGUACUUGUCUCAGUUUCUCGGCAUCCGUUUUAAGUGCAAAUAUAAUAAAUUCUGCGUGUUGUGUCAUGUUGUUAUUUCUCUGUUUCCAUCAUUGAGUUUCUACAGAAGCAGAGGUACUCUGCAGCUCGUCCGCAUUCGAAGGAAGAAGAAGUUGACUAUGUUUCACUUUGACCAAGGCCCAACGUCACUCCACCCCAUCCGACUUUGUUUUAACUUAAGCCCAAUCAGGGUUUGACAUUUUCUUUUUACAUAACAUAAAUCGCAUAGAAGAAUCGUUGUGUGAUGGUGAUGAAGAGUUAUCAAUUUUUAAAUUUAAUUUAUAUAUUUUAUAAAUGGACACUAGUGUAUAAUGUUAUUUUAAUUUUAUCUUUUGUUUUCUUAUCUCGCACAAAAACUAUUGACGAUAUUUGACCUGUAUCUGAUUGAGAUUGAUAAACUGAUAUUCGUUGGUUGAAACUGAUGAAUCAUACUUGGGUGGUUGGCUCAUGGGCCUGUCGGGUUGACAAGAUGGCGAGGCACAAUGAACAGAACAUUACAGUUCCAUGUGAAAGCUACAAUUCUUUUUUGGAAAAAGAGAUUUUAUAUAUUAGUGAUCGUUAAUUUCAUACAUGGGAUACUCGUCAUCCCCAGCAUUCAUAAUAAGGUCGAGCUAGUUUGGCGGAAGUGAACAAUUUCUAAAAAAAACUGCAAGCCAAUCGGCAACCUUGUUCUGUCCGCGAGGAAGAAAAGACACUUGUAUAUCGAUGUUGAGCCCGAGCUUCGACUUCAUAUAUCCAUUGAUCGCUGCACAUUCUUAAGAUUAGGGGGAGUCACUUUUAUUGAGGAUAUUCACUAGGGAUUGGCAAUCUUAGUAUAUAUGGGUCGGUUGAGCUGUAGAUAUAGCCAGAUUGAUGGCUUCAUGAAGAGCAUGACCUUCCGCAACAACCGGAGAAGAGCAAAGGAAACGAUCAUUGGAACCACCACAGAUAAGUCCAUGGGCGUUAGUCAUGAUAACGCCAUAAGCCGUCGGGGAAGACCAGUCAUCGGCCUUGGCCACCGCCUCAUAAUCAUGUUUCGACCAGCCAUUGGGGAAGACCAGUCGUCCAAAUCUCUUUCGGCGCCGGCUAUGGAGAUGCUAGGCACCGGAAGGAAGGAUCGAAAAGUGAAGGCGUUCCUAAUUUUCUAAACGUUCCAGCAAUAGACAACAAACUUUGCGAUCAGUACUUGAAAGCAGAAGGAUUUGAGAAACCAAUGCUAACUUUCAGAAGAAAAGGACGUUGAAAAAGACAGAGAAACCAGUAGAGAGCUUCCCCAAGUCAUGGUGCGUGAGUGCAAGUAAAUAGGCAAUGGGCGAGGUUUUCCUCUCUAUGGUGGCAGAUCGAGCAAAGAGUGGUUGGAGAGUAGUGGCGUUUGGCUAAAUUGACCUUGGUGGCCAAAGCGUCUUUGCAUUAUCUUUAUAGGAAAAAAACGGAUCUUUGGCGGGAGGGAUAGACUCCAAACCCACUUCCAAUUGUUGCUUGAAACGUCGUUAUGGGUCCCCGUGAUGGCAUUGGGGAUACGCCUGAUGGUAUGGUACGCAGACUUGACCGUAAACCAUCCCAAAGGGCAUGCUUCCAUCUUCACUCGUCUUCCAUACCAACCAGACCUAUCGAAAUUUUGCAGAUAUUCGUGGUAUGGGAUUGAUUAAAGUGGAGCGCAACAAGAUCAGUGUCCCAAGCUCGAGAAUCCUCCUUGAUCCAGGCAGCCGCUUUCAUUUCCCCUUGGUCCGGAACGGUCCAUUUAAAAGAGUCGAUCCAUGAGAUCCAUAGGUCGCGCGAAAAGUGAUUGUAGAGCCAUUACCAAGACAUUUGAAGGCCCCUACUCGGAUAACCUUUUUGGCCUUGAAGAUGCUUGACCAAAUCCAGGACGAGCAGGAUCAUUUUGACGAGUCCAGAAACUCAACCUUGGUAAAAUAGAGACCUUUCAGAAGACGAACCCACAACGCGUAAGGGUUAUCGAGCAUUCGCCAUGCUUGCUUGCUGAGUAAAGCCAGGUCGAAGUAAUUGAAGUUCCGAUAUCCCAAACCCCAUCUCUUUUGGGGGAACAUAAGACCUUUUCGUUGUAACAGUGAAUAAUUUUCUUGUUCAUUGAACCGGACCGGAAGAAGUUGCAAAGAAUUCGGUCCAUCUUCUUCGUGAGGGUAUUGGAGAGUAAGAACACUCCCAUGAUGUAUGUCGGAAUGGCCUGAAUCACUGCCAUUCCGACAAAAUCGUGAAAGCUAAAGUUGGAGAGAUAAUUUCUAUAUGAAAUCAUACACCACAAUGUUUAGUUCUGUUUUUAUUUAAAUACUACUACUGCAAAGUUCAAUCAAUGUCAAUUGGAGAGAUAAUUUCUCAAACUCACUACGUUUAAGAUAGGAAUGCAUAGGUUUCCCGUUAUCCAAAUUAUGUUUCCAUCAAUCAUACAUAUAUUUACGUUACUAACCGUUCUUUUUCCGGUAAAAAAACACACCAAUAAGUGAAAUAGAUGUAAGCUUUCGUUCUCCAAAAAAACUUCAUCCAACAACGAAAACACUCGCCCUGAAGCCAAUAUUUUUGAAGCGGAAAAAUCUUAUGACGACUGGGGUCUCUUGAUCCAUCGGCCUGUUGGCCCCCUACUGAGUCUCCCACCUUAACCACGAAAUCGCACCCACCGCCUACAAAUUGCUAUCAGCUGAAACUCUUCGGCGAUAGAUCCUACAAUCAGAAUUCAUCAUUAGCGGGUUAUGGGGUUGUUAUAACUAACUCUUAUGGACAGAUGUCCAGUGGCAAAGUUGGGAAACUUGUUUGUUCAUCUACCCUCAUAGCUGAAGCUAAAGCUCUUCUUGAAGCCCUUCGACUAGCUGAGAGAUCCAAUCUCAAGACUCUCGUCCUCACUGGCAGGCACUCUCGUGCUGGUUGAUGCUCUUAGACGAGAUAAGAAUGAUUGGCCAGAGCAAUAUUUCACAUGGCUACUCCUCAUGAAGAACCUUCUCCUACUCAUGACUGAAUUUCCUUAUCGUUUAUCCCUCGUCGUCUCAAUAAAGUAGCGGACUAUGUUGCUCGAGGCGCCCAUUCGAACACGCUCCCUCACAACUAGAUUCAUUGUACCUAUUUUUCUCAUUUAUUGUAAAACGUUUUCCUUUAGAAAUGAAUAUACAUAUCACUUUUUUUGAAAAAAAAAAAGUUCAUCUUCAAAAGACAAUUUUGUAAUUUAGAAUAAAACAAGAAGCUCAUCAAACAGAGGAAAAGACUUGAUUGCCCCUUUCAGCUAUUCACACGGUAUCCCACAAAAUGUGGCAAAGAAGGUCAACCAAUCGGCCACAAAAUGUUGCACAUGAAAUAUAGUAAUGAAGGUAGAACCGUACGCAACUGGAAUUUGAAGUGAACUUACUUAGCAUUCUUCUUACUUCAUUUUUUUGACUUUUUAUACCAUUUGUGUUUAUAUAUAUAUAUAACAAUACUACCCAAAUCAAAUCAACGAAUCCACUCUCAGAACAGCAAAAACAAAGCAAGAGUUAAUUAAGAGUACUACUAGCUACUACUGUGUUCAACAGCAGCUGAAUCCAAAUAGCUAUAAUAAUGGCUUCCAAAGCUGCAACUUUCUUCUUCUUUUUGCUGGUGGCAUCUUUGCUCAUUACUGCUUCUUUUGGAGCUCGUCCGGAUAUUGCCGACAAAUCUGCCACCGGAAAUCUGCAGGUGAGUGAUGUUAGCUCCGCACCAUCUCCUCCAGUUUCAGACGUUAAUGAUGAAAUCGAUUGUAAUGGCGACGGAGGCAAAAAAACCAAAAAGAAGAAAAAGAAGAACAGUCCUGGAGCAGACGGUCCUGGUAAAAAUUAAUUAAUGGCAUGGGAUCUAUCGACUAUCGUCACCAUCAUCUAAGAAGUAGCUAGCUCCCUCGUGGCUGUUGUACUUUUCAUAUACUAACAAGUCUAUCUGCUUUCACAAAUCACAAUCAUGCAUAUAUGCAUGUCGUUGCUUUCUACUAUGUACCUACUAAUUAAUAAAUAAACAAAAUAGCUACGUAUCCGGUGACCUUCCGGCGAUACGUACUUGUCUCAGUUUCCCGGCAUCCGUUUUAUGUGCAAAUAUAAUAAAUUCUGCGUGUUGUGUCAUGUUGUUGUUUCUCUGUUUCCAUCGUUCAGUUUCUACAGAAGCAGAGGUACUCUGCUCCUCGUCCGCAUUCGAAAGGAAGAAGAAGUUGACUAUGUUUCACUUUGACCAAGGCCCAACGUCACUCCACCCAUCCAACUUCGUUUUAACUUAAACCCAACCGUGUUUUUCUCGUGAGAUAGCAAAAUGACAAUUAAAA
rnacentral:lncRNA from 1 species